AAGCGGCCAAGCGAAAGCAUUAAGUAUUCCACCUGGGGAGUACGCCGGCAACGGUGAAACUCAAAGGAAUUGACGGGGGCCCGCACAAGCGGAGGAACAUGUGGUUUAAUUCGAUGAUACGCGAGGAACCUUACCCGGGCUUAAAUUGCACCUGAAUAUAUUGGAAACAUUAUAGCCGCAAGGCAGGUGUGAAGGUGCUGCAUGGUUGUCGUCAGCUCGUGCCGUGAGGUGUCGGCUUAAGUGCCAUAACGAGCGCAACCCUUAUCUUCAGUUACUAACAGGUCAUGCUGAGGACUCUGGAGAGACUGCCGUCGUAAGAUGUGAGGAAGGUGGGGAUGACGUCAAAUCAGCACGGCCCUUACGUCCGGGGCUACACACGUGUUACAAUGGGGGGUACAGAAGGCCGCUACCUGGUGACAGGAUGCCAAUCCCAAAAACCUCUCUCAGUUCGGAUCGAAGUCUGCAACCCGACUUCGUGAAGCUGGAUUCGCUAGUAAUCGCGCAUCAGCCAUGGCGCGGUGAAUACGUUCCCGGGCCUUGUACACACCGCCCGUCAAGCCAUGAAAGCCGGGGGUACCUGAAGUACGUAACCGCAAGGAGCGUCCUAGGGUAAAACUGGUAAUUGGGGCUAAGUCGUAACAAGGUAGCCGUACCGGAAGGUGCGGCUG
rnacentral:rRNA from 1 species